GAUGAGCUGGCGACUCACCAAGGGUGUACCCUGGCCUUCACCCAUAGAGUUAACUGGAAUUGGCCCCAGUAACCCACCGCGACCCCUUGAAAAAAAAAGGGGGGGAUAAAAGCGGUAACAUCCCUGCAACCCUCACGGAAAUUGGGAAGAAAACGAAACGAAACAUGAUUGUGAAAAGGUUUUUUUUAUAGUAUUAUUAUCAUCAUCCUAUUAUAUUUCACCAAAGACACGCCUUAUUCCUGCAUACAGGAACUUUAAAAAGUACAAAUAUUAAACAUUACACCGUUCGUAAAUCAACAGUAACAAAAGAGAGGCAGCAGGUCAGCAGAAUGAUAAUAUAAAAAGUUACAUUUGAUAACACACAGCUGCUGUAUGGGACAAUGACAGUGAAACUUAGCCAGUCAGUAUUUUAUUCUUCACUGAACACAUACAUCCUUCAUUUCCACCAAAAAUAAAUGUAAAUCUGUCUCUGCAAUUCAAACUUUCACAGGAGAUCAUUAUGGGACAGAUUGUCCAGGAGAUACCCUGAAGGCAGCGAGAGACCUCCGAGGCCAGAAAAAAGGUUUGUCUACAAACUGCUUGUUUUACCAACUGGACAAAUACAGUAGAAGCAUCCAAUAGUUUUACAUUUAAUGGCCUUCUUCUUAUAGGAGGUCGAUCUGGAACAGAUUCUCAAGGUACCAGUCUUAACCUUCUGUUUCAUGCUGAAUGGUGCAAAAUACCCGAUACAAGUCAAAAAUAUCAAUUUGGGGAUUUUUCAAACCCUUGCAGGCGUCAAGACAACAUUGUCAGUGUUGGCUAUGUGAGAGACAAUGGAAACUGCCACCUUCAAACCUCCAAACCAGCCUUCCCAUCUCCGAAGGAGUGAGUCUCAGUAACACAGCUGCUUUUUACUGA
rnacentral:lncRNA from 1 species